CGCUGGCGGCGUGCCUAAUACAUGCAAGUCGAACGGUCGUUUCUAUGGAAGCUUGCUUCCACUGAGAAGAUAGUGGCGAACGGGUGAGUAACACGUGGGUAACCUGCCCAUAAGAGGGGGAGUAACAUCCGGAAACGGGUGCUAAUACCGCAUAGUUUUCUUGAUCGCAUGAUUGAGAAAGGAAAGACGGCCUUUGUGCUGUCGCUUAUGGAUGGACCCGCGGCGUAUUAGUUAGUUGGUGAGGUAAUGGCUCACCAAGACGAUGAUACGUAGCCGACCUGAGAGGGUGAUCGGCCACAUUGGGACUGAGACACGGCCCAAACUCCUACGGGAGGCAGCAGUAGGGAAUCUUCCGCAAUGGACGAAAGUCUGACGGAGCAACGCCGCGUGAGUGAAGAAAAGGUUUUCGGAUCGUAAAACUCUGUUGUCAGAGAAGAACAAGUUGGAGAGUAACUGCUCCAGCCCUUGACGGUAUCUGACCAGAAAGCCACGGCUAACUACGUGCCAGCCGCUGC
rnacentral:rRNA from 1 species